rnacentral:tRNA from 1 species
GGGGGUGUAGCUCAGUGGUAAAGUUCAUGCUCGACAUGCAUGAGGCCCUGGAUUGGAUCCUCACCCCCA